AAAAGCAGAGGGCAUGACAUUAAAUCUUAGUUCUGUAAAAGCAUUCUGAUAAGCCCGCUCCCUUUCCCUGGCAUUGCGGGAGGGAUCUGGGCCUCCCGGUGACCUGGCUGUGGGCAGAGGGAUGUCACCUGCAUCAUUGGGACUCCCCGCUGCGUCACAUACCCUGGCUGACCAAUCGGGAUGGCUGGGGGGCGUGACCACCUGCCCUUUAAACCAGGGGUAGGCAACCAACGGGCCGGGGGCCGGAUGCGGCCCAAUCGCCUUCUCAAUCCGGCCCGCGGAUGGUCCAGGAAUCAGCAUGUUUUUACAUGAGUAGAAUGUGUCCUUUUAUUUUAAAUGCAUCUCUGGGUUAUUUGUGGGGCCUGCCUGGUGUUUUUACAUGAAUAGAAUGUGUGCUUUUAUUUAAAAUGCAUCUCUGGGUCAUUUGUGGCGCAUAGGAAUUCGUUCAGAUUCUUUUUCAAAAUAUAGUCCGGCCCACCACAUAUUCUACGGGACGGUGGACCGGCUCAUGGCUGACAAAGGUUGCUGACUCCUGGUUUAAAGGGUGGCAUGGCGGGGGGGGGGGGGGCGGCCUCCUUUCACCUCCUCGCCCUCACCAGCCAUUUGGUUUGUGCCUACCUUGUAGCAAUCGUCACAACUUUGUAAGGUUAGGCACUGGGUAAGCCAACCUAGCAGUUCGAAAGCACAUCAAAGUGCAAGUAGAUAAAUAGGUACCACUCCAGCGGGAAGGUAAACGGCGUUUCCGUGCGCUGCUCUGGUUUCGCCAGAAGCGGCUUAGUCAUGCUGGCCCCAUGACCUGGAAAAACUGUCUGCGGAUAAUCGCCGGCUCCCUCGGCCAGUAAAGCGAAAUGAGCGCCGCAACUCCAGAGUCGUUCGCGACUGGACUUAAGUGUCAGGGGUCCUUUACCUUUACCUUUAAGCCUUGUUUAUGGGAAGGGAAAUGGUUUCCUCCACCUGCCGCUCCUCAUUAAGGGUAUCCCGUUAAAGGGAUGGGGGGGCGUGGUUCCUGUCCAAAGCCUGGGCGUGGGCAAGGGCCAUGGCACGACCCCAUCAGGGACUCUGGGAGUGCCCCGAUUUGAAGUAUAUCACAGGACUCCCCCUAUCCGUGGUUUACCCUUAUGAGACUCCCUCAGACGGGCAGGAGUCAGGAUAUAGUUCGGUUUCACCCAAUGCCUAAGCCAAACCGCUCACAUCUGUAACCAAUAAAGUUGUGACCUAUUUCAUCCCAUUAACCU